ensembl:lncRNA
CAUUUUGAAGGCCGACAUCGAUUUGAAAGCAGCAGAAAUAAUGGAAUAUUGCAGCACGCAACGCGGAUUUUCUACCCAAAACAAUCACGUGCCGGCGAUAUUAUCUGUCUGUUCCAUGGCUUUCCAUGCCGUUACGGUGCAUCUCCCACGGGGGAGGAGGGAGGGAGGGAGGGAAUAAGGAGGGUGGGGGGGUGGCUGCCCGAUCAUAGCCGCAGGUCAAGCCGACGCCAACCGGCCAGCAAAACACAGCAGCAUGGGAGAGAUGGGGAAGGAGGAAGCGGCGGCACUAUUGCUCAGCAAAUACAACUCGCAGCCCACGCGGCAGAUAACCGCGUUGCGGGAUCACAGGGCUGCGACACGGCUCGGACCAAACCCCCCUCCCCCCUUAAACCCACCCCACCUCCUCCUCCUCCCCGCCACCACCUACUUCCCUGCAAUGACCCCCGCGCCGCUUCGGCGCCGGCGGCGUCCCCGCAGCCCCGUGUUGUGUCUGCGGCCGUGCCCCAUGUGACAGCCGGGCACGGGCACACAGGUGCGGCCGGCGCCGUGCCACAGGAGCGGGCACACCCCGACACAACUUGCAACCCGCGCGCGCUCCCGGGGGGCUCCGCGCCCCCUCCCCCCGCACAACGCCCGCCUACCCGCGCGCGCCGGGCCCCCGCCGGCGGUUACAUAACCCCCCCCUCCCCCUUUCCUCUUCCUCCUCCUCCUCCUCUUCCCGCCGUUGAGGAGCGGGGUCGGGCCCAGGCCGCGGGCCCCGCCGCGCCGGGCCGCCAACACGCAGCGCCGCGAGGGGAAAGGGAGGCGGCCGCCGCCGCUCUGCUCACCUUCCGCCGCUGUGUCCCAGACGAGCAUUCCCGUGCGCCGCCGCCUACCGCCUGCCCCGCCGGGGCUUCACAUCGCGGUUCCCCCCGGCACGGGCGCAAGCAGCCGCCACCUCCCCGCCUCGCUCAGCCCGGCCGCGCUCUCCCCCGCUCUCCCUUCCUUCCUUCCUUCUUUCCCCCUCCUCCCCCUCUCGGUGUCCCCGGCAGCGGCCCCUCCUCCCCCCCCGCCCUUCCUGCGAGCGCGUCACGAGAGAGUCUCGCGCCACCAACCGCCGCUCGGUCAACAAGCGGCGCGCGCCGGGCGGGCCGGCUCGCCCCCACCCCGCCCAACCCGCGGACGAGGCGCCCCCUGCCGGCCGGCACCCGGCGUAACGCCACCGCCGAGAAAGGCGCGGGAGCGCCGGCAGCCGAACACGUGACGGCGGGGCGGGGCGGGGCGCGCCGCUCCCGCGCCUCUCCGCCUCCCUCCGCACGGACGGACCGCGGGUGCCGCGGGGUUGCGGCGCCCCCUCGCGGUGCUCUGCGGAGAGGACGGGAGGGCAGCCCGCGGUGCGGCCCCGCGCCGUGGCGCAGCCGGGAGGGGCGUGGGUUGGGCCGAGCCGGCGGCGUUCCGCCAAACCGGCCUCUGCCGGCGCUCGUGGGGAUCCGGGCUCAGGCCUGCUUCUGCUGCGUCCUCGUGGCAGAAGUCACAGAAUCACUUAGGUCGGAGCGGCCCCAAGGUCAUCGAGUUCGGCCGUUAAUCCAGCGCAGCCGAGUCUACCGCUACGCCGUGUCCCUAAGCACCACAGCUACGUGUCUUUUAAAUAGCUCCAGGGUCACGGUUCCGCCACUUCCCUGGACAGCCCAUCCCAAUGCUUCACCACCCUCUGUGUAA